rnacentral:piRNA from 1 species
UGCUGGUGAAACUUCAUGAGUGUAGCUU